AAAGGGCGUAGGAGGGAGAGUUGUUGCUUUUUAAUCCGGUGCCAUCCGCGACUUGUGGAGGGUUUCAGGCCGGCAAAUCCCACUGAAGGGCUUCUGUACUCUUUCCCUCAUCUUUGGGUAUGAAUAUUGAGUAGCCCCUGAGCGUUUUUGUUGAGAAAGGAUGCGGUCAACGGGCCGCAUAUGAUCCUGCAAGUUCGGGCAGCGCUUAAUUGGGCGCAAGGCCCUUUGAUCUCUUGUGGGACUUGCUUCUGAGUAAGCAUUCGGCCAGUUCUAUAUAAGAGGUGACUGAAAUACAAAUGAAGGUUACUUUAUUUGCCAUUUAACGGCUGAGUGUAAUUAAUACUUGAUUUGAUUUGAUUUGUAAUUGAUUUCCCAUAAAAUAUCUCGCAGCGAUUCCUCAUGGCUGGAAUAGGUAGACUUUUGUAUGUGCCUGUGGACGCUUUAAAACUACUGACCUGGAUGCCUAUCAGAAAAUGUGAAUAAGGGCCUGUGUGCCCAUCAAGCAUUUUUGCAUUAUCCAUAAACCUUUUUUUUAAGUAUGUUUAUAUUCUAUUCAUCAACCACAAGGCUCCCAGGCUACAGUGUUUAUAAGCUAAUUUUUACAGAUGUAUGCAACACAGGCAACGAAGCAUAAAUAUGAUGAAGGCUUACAGCAGCCUAACUUAUGGUUCUGAUCCAGCUUCUGUAAUACUUUCUGUGGUGUUAUUCUAUGCUCUGUUCAGAAAAUAAUAGUUGUUAGGGCUCCAAUGAUUUUUAAUAGUGUAGCUCUAUGCUGUGUUAAUCAGAAAGAAACCACUCUGAGCUUGGUGCAAUAUGCUUCUGAGAAAUUAUGCAUAGGUUUGGGCUUCAUUUCUCCAUAACUUUUAAGGGUCUGCUGUAGAUCUUUAUUAUUAAAGUUGGUCACCCAAAUUACCCUCACAGAGCUACCAUUCACCAAGUACUCUGUGGAUUAAUUGAUAAACCACUUCAGGAAUUGUAGCUCUGUGGGAAGAAUAAGGGUCCCCUAACAACUCUUGGCGUCACAAAGAGUCGGACACGACUAAACAACAACUCUUAGCACCCUUAACAAACUACAGUUGCCAGGAUUCUCUGGGGGAAACCAUAACUGUUUAAAGUAGUAGAAUGCAUAGCAUUGGUUGGGCCCUAGAAUUGGCAUUACUGUAAGCCCUCUGCUCCAACCCACCACAUCAAAUCCAUAGUGAGGGCAUUCCCUAGUAGACAGUCUUUGCUUAAAAGUUUUUGAGGUCAAGUAUGGUGUGUGGCUGGGCUCUGUAUAUUUAAUGUCUUUCUCUGAUGAAACUACACAGACCUGUACUGAAAAGUUCUGUGAGGACAUCCUUUUGUUUCUGAGAAUGGACUCCUGGCUGCCAUAGUCAGUUACUACUUUCUAUUAUUAUAGUAUAUCACUUGGAAAUGUGUAGCUUAUAAUCAGCUGUUGGCUUUUUCUCCCUCCAGACCUGAAUUUGCAAGAUCAUGUGCGACUGUGCUUUCCAGCUGCAAGAGUCAUCGGCUAUGUGUCUGUACCACAUGAUGCAUAUUCCUGAACAAGGAGUAGCUGUGUGGAAAACCCUUAAGAGGUGCAAGGACCCUGGCCAAAAAAGGAUCUGUUUCUUUCAAAGAGCAGAACGGAGCAGUUAAUUUAAAAGACAGUGCUUCCAACAGAAUGCAUGACAUACUCCAGAGAGCCAGCCCUUGUGGACCAGACUGCUUGUCCUCCUGCCUCCAAAGGAGAAAACAAAACCAUCUUUCUUGCAGAAUGGUGAACCUGAAUUGUGGGCCCUCCCUCCCUUUCUGAUGGAGAUUUAGCAGAUGACUCCCUGAAGCCAACUACAGUCCUAAGCUAGCUGCCAGACCAUUGGUCCAUCCAUCUCUGCAUUGUCUACAUGAACUGUCAGCUGAUGCAAAGAGGAAGAGCUCAAAUUGGACAAUGCAGGGAUCCUACUGGUCUCUCCAGUAACUGGUAGCUUCCUUAGUUGUGAUAUUGCUGCACCAUUGAUUGAUUCCUUCCAGCCCACUUCACCCGGCCUGUACAAGAUCACCCAGCCUUGCUUCUUCAUCCAACAAGCAUGCACAAUUGCCUGGAGACUUCUCAAGAUGAUCAGCAAGCUGUCAGUGCUCUCGAUUGAUUCUUCCCCGCCCUAAGUGCUAAAGCAAUCAAUCCAAUGUUAUUGUUUGUAGCCAAUGGCUGUUACAAUACAAUGUGAACACAUCACACAGCUGCAAAAUGACCAGGUCUCCUGAAAAACAUGUAGCUUAUUGCUUUAUGCUUUGUGGUGGCUUUGAAAAUGUCAUAGAAAUGCAUUGUGGGCAGUACUGAAUAAAUUACUUACGUAUGACACAUUGCCUUUUGUUUUUUCUGAGUCGUGGGUAAAGGGUUGUCUGUAGCAAAGUUGAGGAGUGGAUAUUUCUUUACACCACAAUAUAUAGGGCUCUUCAGUAUCCAUUCCAGUAACUUGCAAAUGGCAGAACUUGCCUUGGAGCUGGGUAUGAUAAUUGAUAUUUACUCUGGUAAAAGGUUUUCUUUCCUUCUACAAGCCAAGGGAACUCUUUACAGCUACACAGUGCCAUCUACUGUGUCUGUAAUGAAUAACACCAGUUCACAAUGUCAAACCAGUCAAUUCAGUGGAUGCCGAGAGCUCAUAAGCUGUCAUGUUGUGUUUCCAUACACACAUUGCAUGAUGCCCUUACGUGAUUUACAUAGAAUGUAUAUAAGCCAAAGAACUGCUUUCUGGCCAUUAGGUCCGGUCGCGGACAACACGGGGGUUGCGGCAGUCAUCUCGCUUUAUUGGCCAAGGGAUCCGGCGUACAGCUUCUGGGUCAUGUGGCCAGCAUGACUUAGCCGCUUCUGGUGAAGCCAGAGCAGUGCAUGGAAGAUCCCUCCUCAGGGAGGGGGGACUUUGCGGGUGGGACCCGCCCUAUGCACCAAGCAGGGGGCGUGUUCGGCCCCCUGCUCCACCUAUACCUGCUGCUGUGCUCAGGGCCCUGGCUGGCCAAUAGGGCCAGCUUGUGGGAGGGUUACCUGCUUCAAAAGAGCACGACAGCCUCCAGAUGUCCCCUUUUUGCUGCUGCUGCUCAAUGCCGUCUACCUUCCCACCGGAGCGGUACCUAUUUAUCUACUUGCACAUUGAUGUGCUUUCAAACUGCUAGGUUGGCAGGAGCUGGGACCGAGCAAUGGGAGCUCACCCCGUUACGGGGAUUAGAACCGCCAACGCCCAAGAGACCUUCGUGAGGGACUAUGCAGGCUCUAUAAACCCCAUAAGAGACUUAGAGAAUUUUUUUUCUUCUAACCUCAGUGCCCCUAAAGUUCCUUAGCUAGAAGGCUCUUUCUGGUGGCCGUCACAACCCAGUGGGUAUCAAAUGUCAGGUUUGAUUUCACGGAGUCAUUGACAAAACCCAGUCUUAACAGACUUGGCAGAGUAUCAGGCCUCACUCAUCUCUGACUUUUGGUCUCCCUGCUUCAGCUUCUGCCCCUGACUUAAUUUCUUCCUGCCACAGACUUCUGACACCACUUCUCAGUCUUCUCCCUCUGGCCACUGAGCCUUCCCUUAGGGGUUCCCCAGUCCUUUGCAUCCAACAAAGGUGCCAAGUUGCCUCCAAGAUUGAAGGGGGCUGGUGUAUGUGUGAGCACUCUGGAGGAGCCAGCCACUGAAGCUGUACCACACUUUGAAUCGGCUCAGCCUCCUCAGCUCCCUCCCUCAACAUUGAGGGGGCCUGGCCCCCUUCCAACAAAUACUGAGGGGGCUCAUAAAGAGUCCCAAGGGGUAACAUCUGGGGUCUGGGUUGAGGUUCCCCAUCUCCCUUCUGUGCUGGAAAGGACUGCAUGAGAGAUGUUUAUUCUGUCUUUUUGCCACUGAGUCAGGCGGAUGAACAGCAAGGCCUGCAUCAGAUUUGGGGUGAAAGGCAGCAGCAACAAAAAUCAUGUACUGUAUGUAGUUUGUUGCUAAUUGUAUUUUUACUGGCAGAGUAAGGGAGAGUGUUUGUGGGGUUUUCACAAAGUCACUUGGCUGGCUUUGGGUGUCAGAUGCUGUGACUUGCAAAUUACUGUAUGUAGCGAUGGGAUCUGAUGAUAAUCAUUUGCCAGACAUCCCUGCUUGGGCUAACAACAGCAAAUUAUUCUGGUUUUACUACACUGGCAGCAGCUCUCCUGAGUUUCCAGCCCUUGAGAACAUAAUAAAAGCCUGCUGGAUCAGGCCUAUGGCCCAUCUAGUCCAGCA